CGCUCCGCUACCUACAGCCAACCUGCAACCUGCAAACUCUGCAGCCUUCACCCUUCUGCAGCUCCGCCGGAUAAGCUCCUUCCGCUGACCCAAGCCUCCGCUAGCUGUUGUCGUCAAACGAGCUCCGCUAACGAGCCACUGCUAGCUGAAGCUCCGCCGAGCUUCUUCCGCUAGCAACCUCCGCCACAUUGUACACCGCUAGGAGACGCUAGCGGCAAAACCUCCGCCGAGCACCACCACCGCUAGGAGCAACCGCUAGCCAAAGCUCCGCUCCGCCGGACUAUCUUCAUGCUCCGCUGGCCUACUCCUCCGCCAGGUUGCAGCUCCAGGCCCUCCGCCGGAGAGUCGUCCGCCAGGGGACCCCUCCGUUGGACUGUUCACCGCUGAACUGUUCACCGCUGGACUGUUCACAGCCUCCGCCAAGCGAGUCUCCGCCGAACUCAAGGCCUCCUCUAGCCUGCAUCCGCCGGACAACCACCGCUAGGCUUCAAUUCCCCAGCGGAGCUUCAAUCCCUGGACGACCUGCCCUUUCAAGGCGGAACAUCAGUCUACCGGUCACCCAGAGAUAUACUCUGGCCACCCCGCUUCUGCACAUCAACACCAGGAGCCUCCGCUGGCUUCCUCCGCUCCGGCAACCGCUGAGCAAGGCUCCGUCCUCUCACUUGACCCAGAAGCUCCGCUAGCCUCCUCCGCUAGCUGUCGACGUCUACCACCGCCACUGGCCUCCUCCUUCCUCCGUUAGCUGUCGAUCCAGAGCGCCGCUGGCCAUGCUCUGCUGAUCGUGCUUUGCUGACCAAGCCGCCGCUAGCCAACCCGCUAGCCUGACUCCGCCGGACUACCUCCGC
rnacentral:lncRNA from 1 species